GACGAACGCUGGCGGCGUGCUUAACACAUGCAAGUCGAACGGACAGGCCCUGCUUUUGUUGGUUGCUCGAGUGGCGAACGGGUGAGUAACACGUGAGUAACCUGCCCUUGUCUUUGGGAUAACUUCAGGAAACUGGGGCUAAUACCGGAUAGGAUCUCCUGCUGCAUGGUGUGGGUUGGAAAGUUUCGGCGGUUGGGGAUAGUCUCGCGGCUUAUCAGCUUGUUGGUGGGGUAGUGGCUUACCAAGGCUGUGACGGGUAGCCGGCCUGAGAGGGUUACCGGCGACAUGGGGACUGAGAGACGGACCAGAAGCGUACGGGAGGCAGCAGUGGGGAAUAUUGCACAAUGGGCGGAAGCCAGAUGCAGCAACGCCGCGUGCGGGAUGACGGCCUUCGGGUUGUAAACCGCUUUCGACUGUGACGAAGAGUGAGUGACGGUAAUGGGUAAGGAAGCACCGGCUAACUACGUG
rnacentral:rRNA from 1 species